AUUGAACGCUGGCGGCAGGCCUAACACAUGCAAGUCGAACGAGUGGCGGAAGGGUGAGUAAUGACUGGGAAACUGCCUGAUGGAGGGGGAAAACUACUGGAAACGGUAGCUAAUACAGCAUACCAUCAGAUGUGCCCAGAUGGGCUUAGCUAGUUGGUGGGGUAACGGCUCACCAAGGCGACGAUCCCUUGCUGGUCUGAGAUGAUGACCAGCCACACUGGAACUUGGCCGCGGUCCAGACUCCUACGGGAGGCGUCAGUGGGUGAUAGUGCACAAUGGGUGCAAGCCUGAUGCAGCCAUGCCGCUUGUAUGAAGAAGGCCUUCGGGUUGUAAAGUACUUUCAGCGGGGAGGCGUUACCCGCAGAAGAAGCACCGGCUAACUCCGUGCCAGCCGCCGCGGUAAUUC
rnacentral:rRNA from 1 species